rnacentral:rRNA from 1 species
UACGGAGGGUGCAAGCGUUAUCCGGAUUCACUGGGCUUAAAGGGCUCGUAGGUGGCCAACUAAGUCAGACGUGAAAUCCCUCGGCUUAACCGGGGAACUGCGUCUGAUACUGGAUGGCUUGAGGUUGGGAGAGGGAUGCGGAAUUCCAGGUGUAGCGGUGAAAUGCGUAGAUAUCUGGAGGAACACCGGUGGCGAAGGCGGCAUCCUGGACCAAUUCUGACGCUGAGGAGCGAAAGCCAGGGGAGCAAACGGG